CACCAACCCACAGAUGCAUGGUAUGACACAGCACCUGACAAGAAUAAGUACACCUAUUAUGACUAUGAGGGAGCAAGGCAAAGUACUUCUACAGAAAGGUGUGCCCUUACAGAUGGAGCAAUGGUGAGUGCAUACUCAACAAGGGAGGGAAAGGGGUUCUUAUUCCUGACGCAUGUGGUCCCUACUCCUGUGUGGUUCCCCUAUUGGCUAGGGUUAGACCACACAGGCUAAACUAAUUCUGAUUGACUAAGUUAAAGAGAGUGAUGGGGUGAGUGGUUUGGGGGGAAAAAUGAUGAUGAAAUGAGACAGGAUGGAGAAUGAAUCAGAAUGAGUCAGGGUGGAGAAUGAGUCAGGGUGGAGUAGGUAAUCAGAAUGAGUCAAGGUGGAGAAUGAGUCAGGUUGCUGUAGGUAAGCAGAAAAGGUUGCUUUACGAGGAAGUUACGUUUAAAAGUAGAAGGCAAAGAAUUGAACAUACAGACAUAUUAAUUCUUUGAAGAGAAAUUUAGAAUUCAUAUUUAACAAUCUCAGUUGAAUU
rnacentral:lncRNA from 1 species